GACGAACGCUGGCGGCGUGCUUAACACAUGCAAGUCGAACGGAAAGGCCCUGCUUUUGUGGGGUGUUCGAGUGGCGAACGGGUGAGUAACACGUGAGUAACCUGCCCUUGACUUUGGGAUAACUACGGGAAACUGGGGCUAAUACCGGAUAGGAGCUCCUGCUGCAUGGUGGGGGUUGGAAAGUUUCGGCGGUUGGGGAUGGACUCGCGGCUUAUCAGCUUGUUGGUGGGGUAGUGGCUUACCAAGGCUUUGACGGGUAGCCGGCCUGAGAGGGUGACCGGCCACAUUGGGACUGAGAUACGGCCCAGACUCCUACGGGAGGCAGCAGUGGGGAAUAUUGCACAAUGGGCGGAAGCCUGAUGCAGCAACGCCGCGUGCGGGAUGACGGCCUUCGGGUUGUAAACCGCUUUCGCCUGUGACGAAGCGUGAGUGACGGUAAUGGGUAAAGAAGCACCGGCUAACUACGUG
rnacentral:rRNA from 1 species